rnacentral:rRNA from 1 species
UAAAACGUAGGUGGCGAGCGUUAUCCGGAUUUAUUGGGCGUAAAGAGGGCGCAGGCGGCUUUUUAAGUCAGAUGUAAAAUCUCCCAGCUUAACUGGGAGGGACCAUUUGAUACUGUUAAGCUAGAGUGCAACAGGGGGAGGUAGAAUUCCCGGUGUAGUGGUGAAAUGCGUAGAUAUCGGGAGGAAUACCAGUGGCGAAGGCGGCCUCCUGGGUUGUUACUGACGCUUAAGCCCGAAGGCGUGGGGGGCAAACAGGAUUAGAUACCCUGGUAGUCCACGCUGUAAACGAUGAACACUGGGUAUGGGGAGUAUCAACCCUCUCCGUGCCGAAGCUAACGCGUUAAGUGUUCCGCCUGGGAACUACGGCCGCAAGGCUA